CCCUGCGUCAUCGCAGAUGUUUGUGGAAUUUAUUCGUAUCAGACUUUUUCACGCAUUAAUCAUAGUAGUAAUUUAAAUUGUAAAUUAUAUUGAUGAAUAAAAUGUAAUUGUAACGCUCAUUUAAGCAACAUUGUAACUAUGAUCCGACGCUUAUACAUAUGCAUUGUGCCGUUUGAAUCAUUCUAUCAAAUACAUUAGUAUGUUAAAGAUCACACGGUGUUAAAAGUCUUCACAUAUUGCAUAUCAUACAGUUAAAAAAUAGGUCAAACUUCGGUUUAGGGGACCAAAAAUUAAUAAAUAAAUCAUUUAAAUAAUUUGUUAUCAAAAUAAAUAUAUAACGUAUAAAUUUACAUAAUAAUAAUUUCAUUCGAAUUGAUUUCAUAAAUGUAUUCAAUGAAAUUAAUAUUUUAUUUCUGAACUUUUCAAUAAAUGAUCAAUGCCGUUUAUCAUGCUAGAAUAUUCAGACUGUUACUUUUAACACUGAAUAAAUAGGUGAUUUUCUUAAAUAUUUAUUGUUUGCUAUAAAAUCGUUGUGAUUACAUAACCUAAUACAUCGGUCUAUGUUCAAAAUUUAUAUUAAAAAAAAAUGUAUUUAUAUGAGUACAAAUGUCAAUGUAAUGUAUAAUUAUAAAGGAAACAAUAUAUAUAUAAGAAUAUUAAUUAUGUCCUCUGCCCCUUUAGUAAGAUGAAUGUCUCGGUGGGUAAUUUCGUGUUCUGUGCCAACGAUUAUGCGAAAACCGUCCAUGUGAUCUGUGCUCCCUGCUAUACAAAAAAUCAACAAUUGGUGGUGUUUUCAUAUUAACAUUUUUCUUUUUCAUAAAGUCACUAUCCUUUUCUGUAUAACGAUCUUUGAAUUCUUCUUCACAUUCUACCAAAAAUUUUUGUUGUUCGUCUGUUAACUCUUGUCCUUCCAUUUUCUUAUUGUAUAUUUAUUAAUAAAAAUAGUAUUCAGCUGUAAUGCAUAAUUAGGUAUACAAACUUAAACAAUUUACAAAAUAAUUAAUUACAUGCAUAAGUUAUGUUUAUACUUACGUCAGAGAUAUCAAUGUUGUACUGAUUGAGUUAUGAAUAAUACAUCUGUGGAAUCGUAUUAUUUAAAGAAUGUUGUUUAUCCUAAUGUUAAUUAAUUGAUUACAUUCCAUAUAAAAUUUAUUCUUACAAUAUAUAAAGUAGAUGCACACAAGACGAAAAUAAUGUUACAAUUAAUGGAUAACCUAUUUACUUUAGGUUAGGAGUGUUACAUUUAUGGACCUUUAUUGUAACCUUCAAUUUCGACCGUAUACAUUUGGUUCAAAACAAUUCUUAUAAUUAUUAUAUCAUUAUAGUUCCAUGUUAUUUAUUUUACUAAAAACCAAUUAUUUUUAUUAAUAUAUUUGCAUACAUUGCAUAACAUUAUAUUGAGAAAAAAAACAGCAAA